rnacentral:sRNA from 1 species
GAUUAACAGGCUGCUCUGAUGCUUUUGGUAGAGUGAGAGAGAAUUUGGUAAUCUGUUAGAGAUUAUAUUGCCGAGAAGCUACUAGGGAAGACUAUUUGUAAAAUAGUAAGGACUAUAUAUAUGUCUAAGCCCCUAUGGUAGACUUAAAAAAUACUAAUUUAAAUGAGUUUUAGGUUGGUUGAUUUGUUGGUUGGUUGGUUUUGAAGUAACCUGUUUUUCUUCCUGUCGUGUCUUUUUGCAGAAUCCAGACUCCAAAAUGAUGCAAAUCAACCUGACUGGAUUUUUGAAUGGAAAAAAUGCUCGAGAAUUUAUGGGAGAACUGUGGCCCCUGCUGCUAAGUGCACAAGAAAACAUCGCGGGAAUCCCUUCUGCUUUCCUAGAACUGAAGAAAGAAGAAAUAAAACAAAGACAGAUUGAACAAGAAAAACUGGCAUCUAUGAAAAAGCAAGAUGAAGACAAAGAUAAAAGAGAUAAGGAAGAAAAAGAAAGCAGCAGAGAAAAAAGGGAGCGGUCUCGUAGCCCAAGAAGAACCAAGAGCCGGAGUCCUUCCCCUGCUCCAGAAA